UAAUACGGGGGGGGCAAGCGUUGUUCGGAAUUACUGGGCGUAAAGGGCGCGUAGGCGGUUUCGGAAGUCAAGGGUGAAAGCCCCGAGCUCAACUCGGGAACUGCCUUUGAAACCACGGAACUAGAGUGUUGGAGAGGAAAGCGGAAUUUCCAGUGUAGCGGUGAAAUGCGUAGAUAUUGGAAGGAACAUCUGAGGCGAAGGCGGCUUUCUGGACAGACACUGACGCUGAGGCGCGAAAGCCAGGGGAGCGAACGGG
rnacentral:rRNA from 1 species